rnacentral:rRNA from 1 species
GCAGCGAUGCCGCGUGAGUGAAGAAGGCCUUUGGGUUGUAAAGCUCUUUCGUCGGGGAAGAAAAUGACUGUACCCGAAUAAGAAGGUCCGGCUAACUUCGUGCCAGCAGCCGCGGUAAUACGAAGGGACCUAGCGUAGUUCGGAAUUACUGGGCUUAAAGAGUUCGUAGGUGGUUAAAAAAGUUGGUGGUGAAAUCCCAGAGCUUAACUCUGGAACUGCCAUCAAAACUUUUUAGCUAGAGUAUGAUAGAGGAAAGCAGAAUUUCUAGUGUAGAGGUGAAAUUCGUAGAUAUUAGAAAGAAUACCAAUUGCGAAGGCAGCUUUCUGGAUCAUUACUGACACUGAGGAACGAAAGCAUGGGUAGCGAAGAGGAUUAGAUACCCUCGUAGUCCAUGCCGUAAACGAUGUGUGUUAGACGUUGGAAAUUUAUUUUCAGUGUCGCAGCGAAAGCAAUAAACACACCGCCUGGGGAGUACGACCGC